UGCCAGCCGCCGCGGUAAUACGGAGGUUGCAAGCGUUGUUCGGAUUUACUGGGCGUAAAGGGAGCGCAGGCGGCUUGGUCAGUCGGGAGUGAAAGUCCGGGGCUCAACCCCGGAAAUGCUCCCGAUACUGCCAAGCUUGGGUUCGCGAGAGGCGAGUGGAAUUCCAGGUGUAGCGGUGAAAUGCGUAGAUAUCUGGAAGAACACCAGUGGCGAAGGCGGCUCACUGGCUCGAUACUGACGCUGAGGUGCGAAAGCGUGGGGAGCAAACAGGAUUAGAUA
rnacentral:rRNA from 1 species